CAGCAGCCGCGGUAAUACGUAGGUGGCAAGCGUUGUCCGGAAUUAUUGGGCGUAAAGGGCUCGCAGGCGGUUUCUUAAGUCUGAUGUGAAAGCCCCCGGCUCAACCGGGGAGGGUCAUUGGAAACUGGGAAACUUGAGUGCAGAAGAGGAGAGUGGAAUUCCACGUGUAGCGGUGAAAUGCGUAGAGAUGUGAAGGAACACCAGUGGCGAAGGCGACUCUCUGGUCUGUAACUGACGCUGAGGAGCGAAAGCGUGGGGAGCGAACAGGAUUAGAUACCCGUGUAGUCCCUGUCUCUUAUAA
rnacentral:rRNA from 1 species